rnacentral:sRNA from 1 species
AUUGUUUUAAAUCAGUAUAUAUAAAAGUUUGCAAAUUAUAUCUAUCUAUAAAUUAUUUUUAUUUUAUAGUUUACUGUUGUUAUUAAGUAACGUCAUUCCAAACCCGUUCCGCCAAACCCGUCCCGUAAAAAAAAACCGCAGUACACCGCUAAUUUAAAUAUAUAAUGAAAAUAAAUGUUUUACGGGCUUGCAAUUGUAUUUUAGUUUGUCAAACAAUAUUUUGUUUUAAAUAGUUGUCGAAAUCUAGUUCAAAUUUUGGAGAAAUAAGUUUAGUGAAUUGAUAAGAAAUGUAUUUAGGUGUGUUUUGCUUAUUUUAAGGGAUUGCAAUUGUAUUUUGGUCUGUCAAAUAUUUUUUGUUUUAAAUAGUUACCGAAAUCUAGUUCAAAUUUUGGAGAAAUUUGCAUGAUAUAUGAGAUUGAAAUAUAUUUGGAAUGUUUUUUAUUUGUUAAUUAAUUUAUUGCAAAAAAAAAAUCAAUAAUUAAAAGCCAAUAGCAGCCAUUGUAAAUAAGUUCCAACUCCAGGAUUUAUUUCACAAAAUGGAAGCAAAAAUGUAUAUAUAGAUUUUGAACGGGUCAGCUUCAUCGUUGCUGAUUUUUUUAUGGGCCGAUCACUAUUUUAGUGGACCGUCUUUGCAUUGGGCUG